rnacentral:lncRNA from 1 species
GCUUUCUUGAGUGCAUUGAGUGACAUUGAUUUAUCUUAGACACUUGAGAGAAACACUGAUAGUGUGCAUCUGUGAGGUUCUGUUGCUUUUGAUUCACCUCUUGAACUGAUUGAUCAUUUUGUCAUGCUUUGAAUUGCUUGGAUGAUUUCUCUGAGUAUCUGUUUUCUCUGAUUCAGUGUUGGAUAUUUUCUACUUCUUAUCUCUGUCCAGAUUUCUUGAGAAUUGUGUAAUUCUGUUUGUUUCUUUCAUUGUGAGUCUUUGUCGUCUGUCUGUUGAGUCUAUGUCAAUUCCCUGGUGUCCAUUGAAUUGUUCCCUGGUUUUCGUCUUGGUUUUGCACAGGAGUGCAAAAGACUAAGUGUGGUCUAUUUUGAUGAGUCGAUAUUUUAUCGACUUCACUUAGUUUAUUGUGCUAGAAUUAAUCAGGGAAUUGUGCUUAAUUUUC